GAUGAACGCUGGCGGCGUGCCUAAUACAUGCAAGUCGUGCGGAAGCUUGGGAAAUGACGCUUCGUUGAUUUUCCAUGCGGACAGCGCGGACGGGUGAGUAACGCGUAGGCAACCUGCCCCUGACAGAGGGAUAGCCAUUGGAAACGAUGAUUAAAACCUCAUGACACCGUAGUAGCACAUGCUACAUCGGUCAAAGAUUUAUCGGUCAGGGAUGGGCCUGCGUCUAAUUAACUGGUUGGUGAGUAACGGCUCACCAAGGUGACGAUCAGUAGCCGACCUGAGAGGGUGAUCGGCCACAUUGGAACUGAGACACGGUCUAACUUCUACGGAAGGCAGCAGUAGGGGAAUCUUGCUCAAUGGGCGAAAGCCCUGAUGCAGCAAACGCCCGCGUGAAAGGGAUGAAAGGGCCUUUCGGGUUGUAAAACUUC
rnacentral:rRNA from 1 species